GACUGCUCAUCACCUCUGUUAGACAGAUAGCAGGCUAGUUACUGCUAGUGAAUGAGCUGGUUUAUUUAAUUAUUAGAGUCACAAUUUACCUUGUCCACACAUAGUGUUUUAUAAAACAGAAGCCCAACCUGCAAAAAAACACCACAAAAUAUAUGACCUGGUUCAUAUUACCUACCUAGCUAGCGCUCGCUAUCACUAGUGUAGCAUAUAAGUGCUGCCAGAGUUUCUUUUAGAUAUUAGAAGUAAUCUUGUACAAUGAAAAUAAUCUGUUUAACUCUUAAUUAGACAUAGAUACGACCAGAUCUGGCCUGAUGAAGUCUCUAAUCCGGCACACCAAAUUAAUUUCAAACAGAAUCAUCUUGUGGACUAUAAUUGAAUUGUAAAAUGUGGAAAAAAGAGAUCUAGUCUCUGUUAUUCCACAAGGGAGAAAUGUAGAGCAAUAAACUAAAGGCUAUAAAGUCUGCCAUGACAAAAUGUGCUAAUGAAAUGGAAUUCUUCAUUAUCAAGCAAGAGAUGUGAUGCUGUAACUAUGUCUCUUUCCAAAAAAGCCAGGUUAUUUAUUUUUCUUUGUAACUUUUAGAUAAAUGACGAGAGACGAAUACAUUUUAAAGGAGUUAUUGUCAUGUUGUUGGUCUACUAAACUGAUUUUUAACACAAGCGAGACACAGAUUCAUAUAUAACACUGGAUGCUUCACAGCGACUGCUGGUCUUGUUCAUAUUAUUUAAGACAGUUGGACUCCUCAUACUCCAGACUGUGUUACAGAAACGCGAAGCUGACCUGUGUGACAGCAUCUUCACAAUCCUUUACACCAAAUGUCAAGCUCAUUGUUUCAUGCUGUGGAACACGCACACAUUAUCAACGCUCCCAUGAGUCAGGCUUCUGAGUGUCAUUUUCACACUUUCACACUUUACGCGUACUUCACCCAUAAACGCAAUCCGUGAAUAAAAUCUCCUGACAUUUCACAACAAAGAUACGUUAUAUCCCACCAACACACUUCCUCUACCGUAUAUCAAACUUUUAUUUAUUUAUUUAUUUAUUUAUUAUUUUUUUCUCCCACUGUCCCCAUUACAUUCAUUCUCCUAAUCUUUCUUCAUAUCUUUCUUCCUCUCCCUCUCUUCCGCUGUGGUGUUGUAAUUGAGAAAGCAGCAUGGCCCAAGAGUCCAGUGUGUAAUCCACACUCUAUAAACACUCUAAUUGAAGUGCAAAUUCAAUAUUCCCUUAUCACUCUCUCGCUUUCAUUUUUCUAUCUGACUGGUAAUUACACAACGUCUGGCAAUCUAGUCAUCAAAAUGCACAUGACAAAUAAUCAAACUGCAUGAGAAAUACGGCUGGACCGCUUCCUGGAUUUGGUGUAAAUAGUGAUGAUAAAAAACAAAAAACAAACACAACAAGCAAACAAAAUACAACUGCAUAACACUUAAUUCCCAAGAAGAUUCAUUUUAUAUUCCUGGCUGUCUUUCUUUUCUUCAUUUUGCUCAUCUUUCGCUUGGCGUUCGUUUAGUUGUGUCCCUGGUGUGUGUUCCUGUUACAGUCUCUCGUCUUUAAUGUGCAGGUAACCAGAUUCCUUUCUCAAGUUGGGCUGUGUGGACUAAAGUGGGCAGGCAAAUAGAGAAUCCCUGUAGAGCUCAGUCUUCCCGUCCACCACAUGCUUAUUUGUGUUUAAUUUGGAUAGAGCUGCCAGGCUGCCAGCAUAGAUGUAAAGCCUGUGCCAGCCACGCCAACGAACUGGCCUCAGUCUUUUCAAUCAAGAGAAUCUGAGAGCAGCAGGGCCAAGAUCCAGAGCCAGGCUGAUAGACUGCGACAUGGAGCUGGUUCCAGGCAUCAGCGUUAUCAAGACGAGGGGAUCGGAGUUAAAUACACGGUUACCUAUUUUCACACUCUUCCUGUGUUCAUUUGGGUUUCGUCCCGAUGUUCAAAAACAAGCAUGAAGGUGGGCUUGCUGUGCUGAAUUACCCCAGGUGUGAAUGAUUGUGUGAAAGUGUGUGUGUGUGUGUGUGUGUGUGUGUGUGUGUGUGUGUGUGUGUGUGUGUAUUCUCCCCUAACAUGCAGUGUUCCUGGAAUAGGCUUUGAAUCUGUUGUGACACUGACAUAAUCGAAUGAAUGAAUGAAUGAUGAUGAUGCUAAAAUUCUUUCCAGGUUAUGUCAACAUUUGUCAAAACAAUUUACAUUUCAUAACAACUCACUGAGGAACACAACACACUGAGGAACACAACACACUGAGGAACACAACACACUGAACACCACAACACACAGAACACCACAACUCACAGAACACCACAACACACAGAACACCACAACUCACAGAACACCACAACACACAGAACACCACAACACACAGAACACCACAACACACAGAACACCACAACUCACAGAACACCACAACACACAGAACACCACAACUCACAGAACACCACAACUCACAGAACACCACAACACACAGAACACCACAACUCACAGAACACCACAACACACAGAACACCACAACUCACAGAACACCACAACUCACAGAACACCACAACUCACUGAGGAACACAACACACUGAGGAACACAACACACUGAACACCACAACACACAGAACACCACAACACACAGAACACCACAACACACAGAACACCACAACACACAGAACACCACAACUCACAGAACACCACAACACACAGAACACCACAACUCACAGAACACCACAACACACUGAGGAACACAACACACUGAGGAGCACAACACAGAGAGUCACAUACGUCUCCAUUAUCACUGUAAAUGAAUGGGCACAAAUUCCCACAGACAAACUCCAGAAUCUUGUAACCUUCCCAGAAGACAGGAGGCUGUUCAAGCCAUAAUGAGGACCUCUCUGUAUACUGCUCAUGGUUUUGGACUGGUCCAGUGUCCAACAAAAUCAUAUAUGUGUGACAGUGAGGUGUUCACUUGUUUUUUGGCCACGUCGUGCAUGAUCAGUGUACAGACUGAAGACAACAGAAGGAUCUACACAUCAGAAGGGCUGAAAGACUCCACA